rnacentral:piRNA from 1 species
CGGCAGGAGCAGCCGGUGGUGGCCUUUGG